CAGUGCAAUGUUGAAAAAGGGCAU
rnacentral:miRNA from 2 species